UAGAGAGAGGAUAUAUAUACACACACACUCCAGGCUAUACAUACCUCUGUGGAAGCCAUGCUCGGGAAUGAUAACAACGUAUAAAACACUCAAGUCUUCAUAUAGCUUAAGUUAUGACUUCUGAUUAUUUAAAAUCGGGAGAAGAUAACUGGAUAAAGCCGGAGACAAACUGAAAUGGCCAUCUGGUUGAUGUGCAUACAAAAGGAGUGGUUUGCCAGACAAAGAAACUACCUUUUUUCAUACAAAGCAACGCAUCUCCUCUUCUCAGACUUCCAUUUUUCUGGCUGUGGUGGAGCUGCAGGUCCAUGACACGGAGUCCCUAUUUGGAAUAUGAUAAAAGAACAUUCAAGGACAAAAGCAUUUCUUGCCCUAAAUUUCCCUUCACUUCAUUCAAUUAUCUACAAACCUAUCCUUUUUUCCUUCUGAUAAUAUAUGACAUCAAAUUUCUAUGCAUUAAGUGAAACUUCCCUCCGUUGGGCAAAGACCUCCAGAUUUCUCAGCCACGCAGUAGCAAAUUUCGGUCAGGCUUGCCUUUUUUUCCCUUGAUCUAAUGCAGAUACUUAUUGAAAUUUGCCGUGCAUUAUGUGACACGCAUUAUGUCACCUACUAAACGAGAAGUAAAACCAUUCAUUAUACUCAAAACAGUCUGGGAAGGUGAUUUCACCUUCAUCUUCCCUCACAGGAACCCCACAGGAACUCCUCCAACAGAAGACAGAGACCUUGCAGGGACCCUCUGAAGAUCAAGGAAAAAGCACCAAGACUGAAGCACGGGAGCUUGUGAACAGGGACCCAGACUGCUAAGAUCCAGUCUGUCUGCUGAGACUAUUUCUGGUCCCCUUGAACUGCCAACAUUUUUCAGUCACAAUGUAUUUGCUGGUGGGUUUCAACCCUCAUCAACAAUUCUGUAUUAGUUUGCCAGUUCUAACACUCAUCCCUUUUCCUGGAAUUUUGAAAUCUACACUGAAUGCUGAUUUAUGACUUUCAACAUAAGUUACAUGCACGGUAUGUUAAGUGAUCAUGAACCAAAACUCGCAGUGAUUUAAGGGCCAGAAAUUCACCAAGGUGUGUCCUCAGCCAUAUGGGCAAGCAAGAUCCAAAGUCAAUAAAGAACUUCCUGGUUUUUCCUUUGGACAUUGCUAAGUUUGGGAUUUUGUGUAUGUGUGUCGCCAGAAAAUGAAAUCAACAAAAGCAGUACAGCCUGCAUCAUCUUUUCACACUGUUAAGGUUAUAAAUGACCUCUCUGUAUGAGAACCACAUGUUAAUACAUUUUUUGGUAGUCUAAGUACCCACUUUUUUUGUCCAAAGCAAAAACAAUUCAACUACAGCAACAGCAAGAAUGAAAUGAAACUGUAACAACAGUAUUGACCCAUUUACGUUUUAUUAGAGAAAACCUCCCCGAUCGAUUAAAAAAAAUACACUUCAGUGCCCCAUAAGAAACCAGGAAAUCAGAUUAUGUCUAGGUCCCUUAAUCUGGCAUUCAAUUUACUUAAAUUUUUUCACUACAAAAUUUUUCGCUAUUUUUCUUCUCUAUAUACCGUUAUGCAUUUCCAACACUGCACUGCACUGGAUUCCUCUUGUCCUGUUAUUCAAGAACAAAGUAUGCAUACCAGUAUUACAUGGAUACGUAGGCAUGGCUUGACAAACCAUUUUUGGAUGAACACGAGCUCUGUGUAUAGCAUGGUUCCUUACGGUGGAAUUAAUAGUCAUGUCUUUAGAUUUGUUUUAUGCAUCUCAUUCACUGAUGAGAUUAAAUGCCCACCACUGGUGCAGCAAAGCUUGUUCAUUUUCCUGCAACAGAACUUCUACUCUAACUGCCAGAAAAGUCUGUGGCUGCAUUUCUCAGAGCUUCUCACCCAGUAGGAUCUUCCUUCCGAAGUACUCCUCAUUUCCACCUGCCUUUCCUCUUCAAAGUUAGCAGCUGUGGUUCUUCUGUACUGAACACUGGUUGGGUACAAGAGCACUGAGGGGCAAGCAAUAGCUGCAAUAGCUAGUGCUGAUAUGUCGUGUCCAUAUGGACAUUAUAACUUAACAUUAACGCCUUUCUUUACUGAGUUUGAUCCUGGCCCCAUGAGUCAAACUCUAGCUGUCAGGGGACUUGUUGUAAGUAAUGGUCAUUUGUGUUUCAUAAUUAUCUUGAAU